GGAUUCCCAAUCCAAGACCCAUGGUGGUGUGAUGGCCAUAAAGAGGCAGUUUUGGGAGAGAUCGAGGGGGAAAGUUAUGAACGACUUUCUGGUGGCUUUUGAUCCGUGAUGUUAUCACCCAACGCAUCCUCCAGGGCCUGAGAACACACGCAAAUGGUGAGGAGAGAAGGUAGAUGACCCGAAUUCAUUCCUAAAGGCCAAGACAGCCUUAAGGGCAGAUGUGUGUAGAAAGGCAGUUUCAUGGAAGUGCAAGGGGAGUUAUGAACGACCCUGUGGUAGGUUUUCACCACUGAUGAACACGUCCUAGGCUUCCUCUGCAUCUUGGGAACACACGCAAACACCCAGGAGAGAAGGGAGAAGGCCGGACUUCACUCACAAUGGCAUGAAUAGCCUUGAAGGUGGAUGCAGUGUAGAAACUGGUUUCAUGGAAAUCCAUGGAAGGGAUCAGGGGUGCGACCCGUGAAUGGAUCUUAUCAAUACAGGAGGUAUGUGAUAAGGGUUGAUAGUUGCGUGCACUGGAGGAGCAUGGCCGAACAUAAUAAGGAAAGGCACAUGAUCUAAUCAGAUCAUGUAUAAGGUAACCGGUUUUAUGAUUACCUUUGAAUUACAAUUCUGUUGACUGUGGAAUUGAUCAUGGCCAAGUAUGGCACGUCCUUGAGGACUAUAUAUAUUAGGAAUGUUUAUGGUGUAGUCUGUUGGAUCAGGCCUGAUGGCACUGAACCAAGGCCUUGGCCGGUUCAGGAAUGGUGCCCAUGGCCUUGGCCGGGCUGUUCAUGAUCAGGAUCUAUAUGGUCUGGGUCGAUUCUUUGGAAUCUGAUUAUGGGAAUCUCUUAGUUAUGAAUUAUCAUGAGUUUUCAUGUAUUUUAAUCAAUUUUUAGGAAUUGAUUUGAUGAUGUCCAGUUUUGGCCGGUUUGGCUGAUUUUGACCGAGAUCUAUAGGAUCGAGGCCGGUUCUGCAAAUUCUGAUUAUGGCAUUCUCUUAGUUGGGAAUUAUCAUGAAUUAUCAUGAAUUUUAAUUAGUUUUUGGAGCAUAUUUGGAAGAGGUCAUUUUUGUACCUGAGAGCAUAUUGAUGCUUAUCUGAUGGAGUUGUGUUGGGUUUGGUCAUGUGUGAACCAUUAAUCGGACUCAUGGAAGAGACACAUGGGGGUCCUGGUAUUAGAGGAACCAUGUGGAUUGCAAGGUCCAAUAUGUUUGGAACCAGCAGCAAGCCAUGAAUAAGAGUAUAGCUAGUACUUGAUGGCGUGAACCAUAAGUACUGAGCUUGGGUGUUAUUAUUCAAGGAAGGCCGUGUGUGAUCUGAUCAUGGGUAAGGAUGGACGACCUGAUCCAUAGAUGAUGGAUCAAGGUGUCUGAUCUGAUUGAUCAAAGGAUGCACCAGUGGUAAGAGGAGGGCUGAUCGGCUUUGUUGGGACAUGGUUCCAUGGCUGGUUAGGUACGUGUGAAGACUCAUCAGCUCUGGGUCAUGUGGGGUGGUUGGUUGAUUGACUCAGGAUCUGAUGGGCAUUGUUAGUCCAUGAGCUGGACUUGGUAUCAUAAGUUGCUAAGGCAAAAGGAUGUGGGACAGUGCAUGAGCCGGUAAGGGCCAGAUGCAUGUCCUUAGCUGUUUGAAGACUUCUCAAGGGUUACUUAUGUCUGUGGGGAUGGUUGGCUGAAUGACUAUGUACCUAAGGGAGUUGUUUUUUGUGUGUAAAGGAGCUGGACGCAGUAUAUGGCAGCUGGCCAUAGCUCGGUCCUAGCUCAGUUCGAGUGUGACAGCUGGAUCAGCUGGUCUAUGAGUUCAUUCAGCUAGAGUAGCUGGGCCGAUGAGCUAACAAGCUCCGUGGAUGUCGCAAAGGUAUGAUCUAGCAAUGUUCCAUAGAUCUAGAUAGAAUGGUUAGGGGAAUGGAACCUCAGAUUUGUAUGCCUUGAUUUGGGUUCGGGACAGACCUUGGAGCUAGCUGGUAGUUGAGUAUACUAACCAUUAGCCGAGGUGAUUCGACCAGACAAGUAUUCUAUUGGCUGUAGACCAAUGGUUAAGUAGAGAAUAUCCGCUGCGUAUGAGUUGAAAUGAUCUAAGCUAGGGAAUGACUAAGGUAGCCUUAAGCUAAGGUCUAAGUUAGCCCUCGCCUAUGGGUAAUAAUAUAGAUAAAGGGCAAAAUUUUGAGAGGUUCGGUCAGUGUAUGGACCGAGCGACGUGAGGCAUCGACCGCGGCCUACUCGGCCGGGAUCGGGUCUUACAAGUUGGUAUCAGAGCAUGCUUGAUACUAGGAUGUUUUGGUUGUGGUUGUUCACCCACACAUCUAGACAAGUGGAUGCUGAUGGGGUUAAUCCGCCAGUUUUGUUGCCGACUCAGUUGGAGAAGGUUAACAAGGGAGGUGGAUUGCCUAACGGUCAGCUCGACCCUACUGAGGUUUGAGUAAGAUGAACUGAGUUGCAGCUGGAACAAGAGCAGGGAACCGGUUUGAUCCGAACAUUGUUGUAAACGAUGGGAAGACUAACCGUUUGAUCAGAUAGCUGCUCCGACAGCUAAUGGUCGAGUUGUGCCAGUAGCUGAGGUGGUCGAGAUAGAUCCACCAGCUAGGGCAUCUCGAAAGGUGGACUACCUGAGUGUUUCUGGAGCACAUAGCUCAAAUGAGAACUAAGCAUUUCUCAGGUAGUAUGAAUCUUAUUGAGGCAGAUGAGUAGAGGAGCCGGUUGGUUCACAACUUCAGCUCAACUCACUGCUCAAAGACAUUAUGUCCCAAAUCAAAAUUAUUUCUGAAAACUGAAGUGACUAUGGAACCUUAGCUGUGGUGAGCCAAGUGAGAGUUGAGGUAAGUUUGGGUUUCAUGCUUGUGAACGGGGAAGUUCCAAGAUGAACUCUCCAAAGGCAAGACCCUGAAACCGAAAGGUUAGUUAUCUAGUUAUUUGGAGGUAAUAGACGUAUUGGAUGAUGGACGCAAUGCAAGAUCUUUGUAUGGACGACCAGGAUAAGGGAAGUAACAUUGACCAGGGAGUGGCUUAGGUUGAAAGAAACGUGCAGCACUCUCUUGGAGGUUAGUGUUAUUCUCUGGUGGCCGUUCUAAACAAGUGAGCAUAUGCGGUGUUCAUAUUGGUCUAAGGGAGACGAUACAUGGCUAGUACAUGAGUGGACUUGUGAUCAGAUGGAUCAGCUUGGACUCAGUGUAAGUCAAUGUAGGAUUCCUUAGAUCAGUUGAAUGGAAUGGAUCAAUUCCAAGAGGAAUUGGACCACAGAAAGAACAUGAUGUUAUGUAUCUUAGUAUGAUGAGGAUUGAGGUAUAUUUUAAACACUCUUGUGAAUGGUAUGGGACGUUCACUGAAGUGUGACAUUUUGGAGAAUGGUAUGGGAUGUUUUCCAAAUGUGUUAUCAAACCGAGAUCCUACUCAACUAGGUACCAAAUGUUGUGGGGAGUGGACCAGGUUCGGUAUGCAAUCGAGUCCAAAGAAGGACCAGGGUUGGCUUACUCGGACGAGUCCAAAUGGGAUAUAGUCAGGAUGGACUAUGAUAUGGUGGUGUCCUCCUAAAGAGUCACAAAGUGAUAUUAGGCAUGGACUGGGUUGGAAAGAAUCGAGCCACCUUGGACUGUCACCGUGGCUGAGUGCAGUUUGGGAGUGGGUGUGGACCCCCGAUCAGGUUCCAAAUUAUUUGACCGACCUCUGGAUGCUUAGUGAUAUCAGCAAUCCAAGUGGAAAGGAUGCUUGAGAAGGGUUGUGAGCCUUACUGGCCACAAUCGCCACUAAGGAGGUUGAAGGGGCUGGUGACCAGGACGGGAUUCCGCUGGUCAGUGAGUUCGAGGACGUGUUUCGGAUGCUACAGGGCAUUCCCCCUGAUAGGGCUGAUCCAAACAUAGCAGAACUGGAACCAGGGAUGGCCCCAAUGUCCAAAAGUCCCUAUUGUAUGGCUCCUGCCGAGAUGGCUGAGCUGAAGUCGAUCAAGUCCAGUGAGGGAUGAGGAUCGCAGCAACAACCAAGUCGGAGAUUGACCUAUGGUUGGGGUGCACGGUUGAGUCCUGGAGUGGACCAGAACCGCAAUAUGAUCAAGUCCGGCAAAGGAUGAGGAUCAGGACACGACCUACUCGGAGAUGGACCUAUGGUCGGGGUGUAACGGUCGAGUCCCUGAGUGGACCAGGACUGGAAUAUGAUCACGUCCUAAAUGGACCAGGAUCGAAAUAUGACAAAGUCCGGUUUGGACAGAAGUCAAGUUGAGGCGGUUUAGUCUUGUAGGGACUAAGAUCGCAAUAUGGCCAAGCUGGGAGAGGCUGUGGCCGGUUAAGGAAUUAUCCAGUAAUUGGUGGCUGGAAUCAUAAACCUUAUUGUCUGGAAAGGACUUAAGGGAACAAAACAAUCUGUUAGGACUCAUGGUAGAGUUAUCAGCCUAAAGAUUGGAACAUGUUCGCUAAGACUUGGCUGGUGCAUCGAGUGGCUUAGAGAUUGGUUGAAUCUACUAAGACAUGAGUACGCAGUAUGUUCCUAGGGACCGAAUUUUAUCUAGUCGUGGACUAAGAUCUGAAAAAUAAUGAAGUCUAGAGUAGACGACAUUCUAAAGAGAAAUAUGGACUUGGUGUCUACAAGGACUGCAACUUGGAGAGUUGGGUCAGUGACACAAGUCAUGUCCUUGUAUGGGUGCUUGAUGGACCACUUGAUAAGAUUUUGGGUUAAAUCUCUAUCAAGUGGGGGAGACAUGUAUAUAUGAUGAUCAAGACGUGAUCAGUGAGAAGGAACAAGGAGGGAGAUGCGAUGAAUUUGUUUGGAAGAACCAAACAAGCAUGCUCCAUGUUCCGGAUGCAAAAAGUUUGAUUGGAACCUUGGUCUUGGGGUAGGGCGUCAGCACCACCGGAUUCGAGGACGAAUCCAUUCUAAGUGGGGGAGACUUGUAGCAUCCCCGAUCCUGGAUAGGACCGUCCGGACAGACCUUAGUGCGAGGAGAUGCACCAGUCAGGUCACAUGACCUAAAGACAAGCGUGUCAUGGUCCAAAACGUGGUUAAGGGAAUCAGGAAGCUGGAACCUAACCAAAAUAAGGCAGAUGCAAGCUCAAAGGAGCUGGACAAGCGAGCUGGUAGCUGGACGAGAUCCAGGUGAAGCUCGAUGAAGUGAGUGAUCAGAAUGGAUCAUGGGAAAACUAAGUCUAGGUCUGGAAAUUGACCAAGGGACUUAGAAGGAUUGAAGAAGAUAAAGGAAGCAAGCUAAACACAGUGUAUAAUAGCUGGGCGAUGCAGUAAGCAAGCUCGACCAGCUAGGUGAAGUGUAGUGCAGCUCGGUGUAGCUCACUGAAGUGUAGGUCAGCUCCCUGAGCUGGAUGGUCUAGCUCACUCAGCGGUAUCAGCUGGGGAUCAGCUCAACUCAGCUGGACUGAGUGUUCAGGUCUUGGGCAGUUGGGCCGGGUCUGGACAGUGGCCGGGCCAUGUGGGUGACCCGUGUGUGCCGAUGGGCUGGUGGGCUCUUGGGAUUGAGCCAGGGGCAUGGGCAUUCCGUGUGUGAUAGUUUUGGACAUGUCCAGGAGUGGUUUGGCAGUUCCAGGGCGUGUGGUAACUGCCAUAGGCGAAAGGGUGCAAUCUGUACCAUUGAUUAAAUCAAUGGCCAGAAAUGAUACCGAAGGGAUGCAAUGGUUAAGAAGUAACCACCCCUUCUCCUAUAUAAGGAAGGCAAGUCCGUGCCUUUCAGGCACGCCAGGGCUUCCUCCUACACCCUGAAACACAAAGAAACACAGAGAAAAGACAGAGAGUUGGUCGGAUUCCCAAUCCAAGACCCAUGGUGGUGUGAAGGCCAUAAAGAGGCAGUUUUGGGAGAGAUCAAGGGGGAAAGUUAUGAACGUCUUUCUGGUGGCUUUUGAUCCGUGAUGUUAUCACCCAAUGCAUCCUCCAGGGCCUGAGAACACACGCAAAUGGUGAGGAGAGAAGGUAGAUGACCCGAAUUCAUUCCUAAAGGCCAAGACAGCCUUAAGGGCAGAUGUGUGUAGAAAGGCAGUUUCAUGGAAGUGCAAGGGGAGUUAUGAACGACCCUGUGGUAGGUUUUCACCACUGAUGAACACGUCCUAGGCUUCCUCUGCAUCUUGGGAACACACGCAAACACCCAGGAGAGAAGGGAGAAGGCAUGAAUAGCCUUGAAGGUGGAUGCAAUGUAGAAACUGGUUUCAUGGAA
rnacentral:lncRNA from 1 species